rnacentral:rRNA from 1 species
GACGAACGCUGGCGGCGUGCCUAAUACAUGCAAGUUGAGCGAUGAAGAUUGGUGCUUGCACCAAUUUGAAGAGCAGCGAACGGGUGAGUAACGCGUGGGGCAUCUGCCUUUGAGCGGGGGACAACAUUUGGAAACGAAUGCUAAUACCGCAUAACAACUUUAAACAUAAGUUUUAUGUUUGAAAGAUGCAAUUGCAUCACUCAAAGAUGAUCCCGCGUUGUAUUAGCUAGUUGGUGAGGUAAAGGCUCACCAAGGCGAGGAUACAUAGCCGACCUGAGAGGGUGGUCGGCCGCAUUGAGAGUGUGACCCGGCCCAAACUCCUUCGGGUGGCACCCGUAGGGAUUCUUCGGCAAUGGGCGGGAGUCUGACCGAACAACGCGGCGUGCGUGAAGAAGGUUUUCGGAUCGUAAAACUCUGUUGGUAGGGAGGAACGUUGGUGAGAGUGGAAAGCACAUCAAGUGACGGUAACUACCCAGGAAGCGACGGCUAACUACGUG